rnacentral:rRNA from 1 species
GACGAACGCUGGCGGCGUGCCUAAUACAUGCAAGUCGAACGCUUCUUUCCUCCCGAGUGCUUGCACUCAAUUGGAAAGAGGAGUGGCGGACGGGUGAGUAACACGUGGGUAACCUACCCAUCAGAGGGGGAUAACACUUGGAAACAGGUGCUAAUACCGCAUAACAGUUUAUGCCGCAUGGCAUAAGAGUGAAAGGCGCUUUCGGGUGUCGCUGAUGGAUGGACCCGCGGUGCAUUAGCUAGUUGGUGAGGUAACGGCUCACCAAGGCCACGAUGCAUAGCCGACCUGAGAGGGUGAUCGGCCACACUGGGACUGAGACACGGCCCAGACUCCUACGGGAGGCAGCAGUAGGGAAUCUUCGGCAAUGGACGAAAGUCUGACCGAGCAACGCCGCGUGAGUGAAGAAGGUUUUCGGAUCGUAAAACUCUGUUGUUAGAGAAGUACAAGGACGUUAGUAACUGAACGUCCCCUGACGGUAUCUAACCAGAAAGCCACGGCUAACUACGUG